rnacentral:rRNA from 1 species
CUACGGGAGGCAGCAGUGAGGAAUAUUGGGCAAUGGGGGAAACCCUGACCCAGCAAUGCCGCGUGCGGGAUGACGGCCUUCGUGGUUGUAAACCGCUUUCAGUAGGGACGAAAAUGACGGUACCUGCAGAAGAAGUCCCGGCUAACUACGUGCCAGCAGCCGCGGUAAUACGUAGGUGGCGAACGUUAUCCGGAAUCACUGGGCGUAAAGGGUCCGCAGGUGGCAUGUCAAGUCGAUUGUGAAAGCUCCCGGCUCAACUGGGAGAGGACGGUCGAAACUGGCAAACUAGAGUCCGACAGAGGUCGGCGGAAUUCCCGGUGUAGUGGUGGAAUGCGUAGAUAUCGGGAGGAACGCCAAAAGCGAAAGCAGCCGGCUGGGUCGAGACUGACACUGAGGGACGAAAGCGUGGGUAGCGAACAGGAUUAGAAACCCGUGUAGUCC